rnacentral:rRNA from 1 species
GAUGAACGCUAGCUACAGGCUUAACACAUGCAAGUCGAGGGGCAGCGGUAUCGAAAGCUUGCUUUCGGUAGCCGGCGACCGGCGCACGGGAGAGUAACGCGUAUCGAACCUGCCUCAUACUCGGGAAUAGCCUUGCGAAAGUAAGAUUAAUGCCCGGUGUUUUCAGAGUCCCGCAUGAGGCUUUGAACAAAGAUUUAUCGGUAUGAGAUGGCGAUGCGUCCCAUUAGCUUGUUGGCGGGGUAACGGCCCACCAAGGCAUCGAUGGGUAGGGGUUCUGAGAGGAAGGUCCCCCACAUUGGAACUGAGACACGGUCCAAACUCCUACGGGAGGCAGCAGUGGAGAAUAUUGGUCAAUGGGCGGAAGCCUGCACCAGCCAAGUAGCGUGCAGGAAGACGGCCCUCCGGGUUGUAAACUGCUUUUAGUUGGGAAUAAAACGGGGCUCGUGAGCCCCCUUGCAUGUACCAUCAGAAAAAGGACCGGCUAAUUCCGUGCCAGCCGCCGCCGUAA